rnacentral:sRNA from 1 species
GGAUGUGAGAGCGAUCUGGCUGCGACAUCUGUCACCCCAUUGAUCGCCAGAGUUGACUCCACUGAUCUGACUAGCUAGGCGAGUGUCCCCUUCCACCCUCACUGCUCCAUGUGCGUCCCUCCCGAAGCUGCGCGCUCGGUCAAAGAGGACGGCCUUCCCCGAAUAGAGACGGACCAGUCUUGGGUCGAGGGUAUACGAGUAGCUGUGCUCCCCUGCUAGAACCUCCAAACAAGCUCUCAAGAAAAUCAUAAUUCUUCAAAAUUAAUUUUGUUGGAUCCUGGAAGAACGACUGCCCUGUUGAACUCUUGGUAUGCGCAG